rnacentral:rRNA from 1 species
GUGGGGAAUCUUCCGCAAUGGACGAAAGUCUGACGGAGCAACGCCGCGUGAGUGAUGAAGGUCUUCGGAUUGUAAAGCUCUGUUAAUCGGGACGAAAGAGCCUAGUGUGAAUAAUGCUAGGAAGUGACGGUACCGGAAUAGAAAGCCACGGCUAACUACGUGCCAGCAGCCGCGGUAAUACGUAGGUGGCAAGCGUUGUCCGGAAUUAUUGGGCGUAAAGCGCGCGCAGGCGGAUCUGCCAGUCUGUCUUAAAAGUUCGGGGCUUAACCCCGUGAUGGGAUGGAAACUACAGAUCUAGAGUAUCGGAGAGGAAAGUGGAAUUCCUAGUGUAGCGGUGAAAUGCGUAGAGAUUUGGAAGAACACCAGUGGCGAAGGCGACUUUCUGGACGAUGUCUGACGCUGAGGCGCGAAAGCUAGGGGAGCGAACGGGAUUAGAAACCCUAGUAGUCC